rnacentral:rRNA from 1 species
UACGUAGGGUGCAAGCGUUGUCCGGAAUUAUUGGGCGUAAAGAGCUCGUAGGCGGUUUGUCGCGUCUGCUGUGAAAUCCCGAGGCCCAACCUCGGGCCUGCAGUGGGUACGGGCAGACUAGAGUGCGGUAGGGGAGAUUGGAAUUCCUGGUGUAGCGGUGGAAUGCGCAGAUAUCAGGAGGAACACCGAUGGCGAAGGCAGAUCUCUGGGCCGUAACUGACGCUGAGGAGCGAAAGCGUGGGGAGCGAACAGG